GGAGGGUCGCGGAGCGGCCCCGGUGACGGGCAGGCCGGGAAGCCUAUGGGGAGAGCGGGGGCGGGGCGGAGCUGCCCGCCCGCUGGAGCUGGUGCCGUGGCGGGGCCGCGUCUGGCCGGCGGGCGGGGCCGCCAGCAGGGCGGCGGGGGGCCGCGGCGGAGCGGUGCUGCGGGCAGCGCGCCCUGGGGACGGCCCCGCGGCUGCCGCGGCUCCCGGGCCCCUGUGGCGUCGGAAAGCGCAGACGCUGGCCGUGACCGCUAGCGCAGCCUUGAGUCGCGUUUGUCCCAAAUCUGCUUUACCCGACUUUUGAGGGGCAGCGCGCUUUGUGCCGCGUGGUUUUGCUUCCUUGCUCGUUUGUUUCUAAGAAUUCAUUUGCGGUAGCUUAUCAGCAUUUCAGACACGCACACCAUGUAGAGAUUUAACUUGUCUUUGAGAAAAUGAAAGGCUACAGCAGAGAGUAAGGCAAUAAUCUACUAUUCACAUCCAUAAUGGAGGGGACAAGAUGUCAUCAGUUUAAACUGCAGUGAGAAAAAUGCGGAUCAGGUGUUAAGAAAAUGCUACUGACAAAGUCGCUAUGGCACUAGACUGCCUGAUGGAAAGAUGAGUGUGGAGUCUUCAUUGGUUGGAGUUUUAAAGCCAAGCCUCUUCAAUGUGACAAUUCACUGCAUCUUGGAAUAAAAGAGAAAAAAUCUUCACCGUUCAAUACUGUCUUCACAUCCUGGAACCUCGUUCUUGCAAAAUCUGAAAGAGACCAACAGUUUUAUAAAUGAAAAUUCUCUGAAUGUCAUUCUUAAAGAAUGGAGGACAAAGAACAACAUAACGACUAUUUCAAAAAAAAAAAAAAAAAAAAGGUAAUUUUUAAAGAAGCUGGUUCAAGGACAUUCUUGAAGCUUUUGCUUUAAGAUUGAAAAAGAAGGAUUAAUACAUACAAUGUUUUACUAUCAAACAUCAUGAAAACUAAUGUACAUCACUGCUAGUAACUGAGUCUGAUUAAUAUAACCAAAGCUUAAGGGCUGGAAGACAGAAGUAGUAAGCCAUUUUACUUCAUCCUUGUUCUAAAGAUACUUAAGUCCCAUAUAGUAAAUGAACCAGAUACAUUUUAAAACUUGGGAUUUAAUCUUAAAUUUUUCCUAUUGCAGUAAAUGUCCUUAACUCUCUCAAAUUUCAGCUGCAAUUGUAUUCCUUGAAAACGUAAUUAGCAACCUAAAAUGCGCACAAAUGUCAUACUGGGUGAGAUGAUGCGUACAGCUUUCAAAGACCAACAGUAUGAGUUGACAAGAACUAACCUGACAUUUGAAAUAGAUGUCCAGACUUGAUCUUUAGCAUGAACUAAAAUCAGCCAACAAGAUUUCUUCAUAGUAAAAAGUUUUAGUAAUUUUUUUUUUACAGUGGAGUUCAGAUAUACAAAGCUCAUCAGUUGGACUCACCGCCUACAGGACAGUAAAUCCUACUUUGACAACAGUUUUAAAAUAAUUUUACAUUAAUAUUAUUUGUUCAUGGUAGAUCUCACAAGUUUGUUAAGCAUCCCUUCCAGUCCACAAGAAAAUUGCUUCUGCAGAGACAGGACAUAGCACAUUGCACUUUUCAUGCACUACCCUAUCCAUCAUUAUCCUUUGAAUCACCCAAGCCAGGCAGCUGAGAGGCGUUGCAGCCUUUGACUUCAUGAGAAGGAAUAUAUUUCUCAAAAAUUUUGUCUAAGGAAUUUGCUUCUCCCACUGUUACCAAGGAACUGAGAUUCCCAUUACAGUGAAUAAGAUGAUUUGGUUUUCCCCUAAAGGCAGUUGACUUGUUUAAUAGGUAUAUAUUAAAUAUAGGGAAUGAAGUCUAAUGAAACCAAAUUAUCUGCCCCUGAAGAACCUAGGAAACCUUGUAUAUAGCAUCCUAUAACACAAAGACUAUGUAUUCUAUUUUGAUUUUUUAUUUUCCCCUUUUCAACCUUCUUCAGCACCUCCAGUGAAGAAAGGAUCCAUGUCUUAGGACUGACUGUGCAGGCCACUGUGUUUCUCACAGUUCUACUCUAAACUGAAUACUGCAAUCAGCAGUAAUGACAUCAGCUCUGAAGCUGCUUUUGUGUACCCACAGGGAAGCCUGCAAGCAAACGGUAGAACCAGUGAUGACCAUGGCCAAAAAAAGACUAAGCAAAGCUUCAAAUGUACUUAGCACAAGUACUUUAUCAGCAAAUAAAAUUAUCUCUAAUUCAUUUUCUUUUACUUCCUGGUUGUUUUCCAAGUACUGAGAAGAGCUCUUCAAAACCUGGCAGAAACCAAAGGCACAGUCCCUGGGAAAUGGCAUAGCUGUCUUCAAUGUAGAGUUUCUUUCUAUGAUGAUUUCAAUUUAAUCUCAUAUUAUGACAAACACCUCAUGCUAGUAGCACUCAGUAGCACAUUCUACCCCCAGAGGAUUCACUGAAUUUGACAGUACACACGAUCUUUGUGCCUGUUGGGUAAAAACUGUCACACCAAAAAUUAACAGAGCAUGCCAAUUUCAUGUUUGGUUUUAAAUGAAAAAGUCUAGGUAUUUGGUUUCCUUUUAGUAUUGUUAAAACGUUGAUAAUUUACCGUAUCAGCCUCUUAUCAGUCAUUAAGUCUAAAGUCAUUCACACAGGCUAUAGUCAAGUAGGGUCUCACCUGCUUUGCACAAUGCCAUGGGAUUUUUUUAAGGACUGGAGUUCAUAAAGACUCCAUCACCAUUUGUAUGCUCUUCUCAAGGACAGUUCAGAGACAGUUCAGGGUUAACUUAGAAAAAAAAA